rnacentral:rRNA from 1 species
GACGAACGCUGGCGGCGUGCUUAACACAUGCAAGUCGAACGGAACGGCCUGUCCUUCCUUGUGUUGGACGGGUACUCGAUUGGCGAACGGGCUUGUAAUACGUGUGUGACCUGCCCCCAACUUGUGUAUAAGCCUGGGAAACUGGGUCUAAUUCCCGAUAGGCCUGCAGUGUGGUGCCUGUGGUUGAAAUCGAUUUUCUAGUGGUUGGGGAUGAGCCCGCGGCCUAUCAGCUUGUUGGUGGGGUAAUGGCCCACCAAUGCGGCGACGGGUAGCCGGGCUGAGAGGGUGGACCGGGACAUUGGGACUGAGCUGCCGCCCAGACACCUACGGGCGGCAGAAGUGGGGAAGGUUGGACGAUGGGCGGAAGCCUGGUGCAGCGACGAAGCGUGGAGGAUGACGGGCUGCGGGUUGUAAGCACCUUUCAGCGGCGAAAAGGCCGCCUGGUUGGGAGGGUAGUGACGGUAGUGGUAGAAGAAGCACCGGCUAACUCCGUG